rnacentral:rRNA from 1 species
GACGAACGCUGGCGGCGUGCUUAACACAUGCAAGUCGAACGGUGAAGCGCCUUCCUUUUUGGUGGGUGUGGAUGAGUGGCGAACGGGUGAGUAACACGUGAGUAACCUGCCCCCUUCUUCUGGAUAACCGCAUGAAAGUGUGGCUAAUACGGGAUAUUCUGGGUCUGUCGCAUGAUGGGUCUGGGAAAGAUAUUGUUUCGGUGGGGGAUGGGCUCGCGGCCUAUCAGCUUGUUGGUGGGGUGAUGGCCUACCAAGGCGGUGACGGGUAGCCGGCCUGAGAGGUUGGACGCUCACGAUGUGACUGACGCACGGCACAGCUUCCUACGGGAGGCGGCGGUGAGGAAUCUUGCACAACGGGCGCAAGCCGGAUGCAGCGACGCCGCGUGAGGGAUGGAGGCCUUCGGGUUGUGAACCUCUUUCGCCAGUGAAGCAGGCCUGCCUCGUUUGUGAGUGGGUUGACGGUAGCUGGAUAAGAAGCGCCGGCUAACUACGU